CCCUACGGGGCGCAGCAGGUGCUGGACGGCGAGAUCCCGGAAAUCGUCGUCGAGGUCCUUCGGAUUGCAGGCGUGGUAGGCGUUGUGGUGAAACUCCUCGACAUGCUUCACGAAGUAGUACGAGGCGCUGGUCCGCGUGUCGUACUCCACCUCGCUGAAGAUGUAGAACUCGUAUUCCGGCCCCCACCAGGACUGGUCGCCGACGCCGGACUCGAUCAGGAAACGCUCGGCCUUCUCGGCCACCCAGCGGGGAGCCUGGUCGAACCGGCUUCUCUCCGCGUCCGUGGGGUGCAGCUUCGUGAAGAAGCUGAGAGUCGGGAUCUCCCGGAACGGGUCCACGACCGCCGUGUCGAUGUCCGGGAUCUGGAUCAUGUCGCUGAACUCGACUUUCGAGUAACCGAAACUGGAACCGUCGAAGCCGAUGCCGUCCUUCAAUAUGGCGGGGGAGC
rnacentral:rRNA from 1 species